AUUGAACGCUGGCGGCAGGCCUAACACAUGCAAGUCGAGCGGAUGAAGGGAGCUUGCUCCUGGAUUCAGCGGCGGACGGGUGAGUAAUGCCUAGGAAUCUGCCUGGUAGUGGUGGAUAACGUCCGGAAACGGGCGCUAAUACCGCAUACGUCCUGAGGGAGAAAGUGGGGGAUCUUCGGACCUCACGCUAUCAGAUGAGCCUAGGUCGGAUUAGCUAGUUGGUGGGGUAAAGGCCUACCAAGGCGACGAUCCGUAACUGGUCUGAGAGGAUGAUCAGUCACCCUCGAACAUAGACGCAGUCCAGACUCCUACGGUAGGCAGCAGUGGGGAAUAUUGGACAAUGGGCGAAAGCCUGAUCCAGCCAAGCCGCGUGUGUGACGAAGGUCUUCGGAUUGUAAAGCACUUUAAGUUGGGAGGAAGUGCAGUAAGUUAAUACCUUGCUGUUUUGACGUUACCAACAGAAUAAGCACCGGCUAACUUCGUG
rnacentral:rRNA from 1 species